rnacentral:rRNA from 1 species
AGUGAACGCUGGCGGCGUGCCUAACACAUGCAAGUCGAACGGGCUAGUGCUUCGCACUAGUCUCUUUCUGGGGUUGUUACUCUAAGGCUACCUGCUAAAGUUAUUGCUUUAAAGCAGGGGUUUUAGGAGACUUUCUCCGAAAGGGGCCAGUGCGGAGCACUGGCCAGUGGCGAACGGGUGAGUAACACGUGGGUAAUCUACCCUCGAGUGGGGAAUAAGCUUCCGAAAGGGGGUCUAAUGCCGCAUAACGUUUCAUAACGAUGGUUAUGAAACCAAAGCCCAAAAGGCGCUCGAGGAGGAGCCUGCGUCCUAUCAGCUUGUUGGCAGGGUAAUGGCCUACCAAGGCUAUGACGGGUAGCCGGCCUGAGAGGGUGUCCGGCCACACUGGAACUGAGACACGGUCCAGACUCCUACGGGAGGCAGCAGUGGGGAAUUUUGCGCAAUGGGGGAAACCCUGACGCAGCGACGCCGCGUGUGGGACGAAGGCCUUACGGUUGUAAACCACUGUCAGCAGGGAAGAAUG